GAGAGAAUUGCUAGCUUGCUAAUAAUUCUCUAGUGGCGCACGGGUGAGUAACACGUGAGUAACCUGCCCCCGAGAGCGGGAUAGCCCUGGGAAACUGGGAUUAAUACCGCAUAGUAUCGAAAGAUUAAAGCAGCAAUGCGCUUGGGGAUGGGCUCGCGGCCUAUUAGUUAGUUGGUGAGGUAACGGCUCACCAAGGCGAUGACGGGUAGCCGGUCUGAGAGGAUGUCCGGCCACACUGGAACUGAGACACGGUCCAGACACCUACGGGUGGCAGCAGUCGAGAAUCAUUCACAAUGGGGGAAACCCUGAUGGUGCGACGCCGCGUGGGGGAAUGAAGGUCUUCGGAUUGUAAACCCCUGUCAUGUGGGAGCAAAUUAAAAAGAUAGUACCACAAGAGGAAGAGACGGCUAACUCUGUGCCAGCAGCCGCGGUAAUACAGAGGUCUCAAGCGUUGUUCGGAAUCACUGGGCGUAAAGCGUGCGUAGGCUGUUUCGUAAGUCGUGUGUGAAAGGCGCGGGCUCAACCCGCGGACGGCACAUGAUACUGCGAGACUAGAGUAAUGGAGGGGGAACCGGAAUUCUCGGUGUAGCAGUGAAAUGCGUAGAUAUCGAGAGGAACACUCGUGGCGAAGGCGGGUUCCUGGACAUUAACUGACGCUGAGGCACGAAGGCCAGGGGAGCGAAAGGGAUUAGAUACCCCUGUAGUCCUGGCAGUAAACGGUGCACGCUUGGUGUGCGGGGAAUCGACCCCCUGCGUGCCGGAGCUAACGCGUUAAGCGUGCCGCCUGGGGAGUACGGUCGCAAGAUUAAAACUCAAAGAAAUUGACGGGGACCCGCACAAGCGGUGGAGUAUGUGGCUUAAUUCGAUGCAACGCGAAGAACCUUACCUGGGCUUGACAUGUAAUGAACAACAUGUGAAAGCAUGCGACUCUUCGGAGGCGUUACACAGGUGCUGCAUGGCCGUCGUCAGCUCGUGUCGUGAGAUGUUUGGUUAAGUCCAGCAACGAGCGCAACCCCUGUUGCCAGUUACCAGCACGUGAAGGUGGGGACUCUGGCGAGACUGCCCAGAUCAACUGGGAGGAAGGUGGGGACGACGUCAGGUCAGUAUGGCCCUUAUGCCCAGGGCUGCACACGUACUACAAUGCCCAGUACAGAGGGGGCCGAAGCCGCGAGGCGGAGGAAAUCCUAAAAACUGGGCCCAGUUCGGACUGUAGGCUGCAACCCGCCUACACGAAGCCGGAAUCGCUAGUAAUGGCGCAUCAGCUACGGCGCCGUGAAUACGUUCCCGGGUCUUGUACACACCGCCCGUCACAUCAUGGAAGCCGGUCGCACCCGAAGUAUCUGAAGCCAACCGCA
rnacentral:rRNA from 1 species